rnacentral:rRNA from 1 species
GCGGAGGGAUCAUUACCGAGUUUACAACUCCCAAACCCCUGUGAACAUACCUUAUGUUGCCUCGGCGGAUCAGCCCGCGCCCCGUAAAAAGGGACGGCCCGCCGCAGGAACCUUAAACUCUGUUUUUAGUGGAACUUCUGAGUAUAAAAAACAAAUAAAUCAAAACUUUCAACAACGGAUCUCUUGGUUCUGGCAUCGAUGAAGAACGCAGCAAAAUGCGAUAAGUAAUGUGAAUUGCAGAAUUCAGUGAAUCAUCGAAUCUUUGAACGCACAUUGCGCCCGCCAGUAUUCUGGCGGGCAUGCCUGUUCGAGCGUCAUUUCAACCCUCAAGCCCAGCUUGGUGUUGGGAGCUGCAGUCCUGCUGCACUCCCCAAAUACAUUGGCGGUCACGUCGAGCUUCCAUAGCGUAGUAAUUUACAUAUCGUUACUGGUAAUCGUCGCGGCCACGCCGUUAAACCCCAACUUCUGAAUGUUGACCUCGGAUCAGGUAGGAAUACCCGCUGAACUUAAGCAUAUCAAUAAGCC